rnacentral:rRNA from 1 species
UACGGAGGGGGCGAGCGUUGUCCGGAAUCACUGGGCGUAAAGGGCGCGUAGGCGGCCUGAUAAGUAGGGGGUGAAAUCCUGCGGCUUAACCGCAGGGCUGCCUUCUAAACUGUCAGGCUCGAGCACAGUAGAGGCAGGUGGAAUUCCCGGUGUAGCGGUGGAAUGCGUAGAGAUCGGGAAGAAAAUCAGUGGCGAAGGCGGCAUGCUGGGCUGUUGCUGACGCUGAGGCGCGACAGCGUGGGGAGCAAACAGG